rnacentral:piRNA from 1 species
UAGACUCUAGACUGAGCUGCCUUGGU